GAUGAAGAACGUAGCGAAAUGCGAUAAGUAAUGUGAAUUGCAGAAUUCAGUGAAUCAUCGAAUCUUUGAACGCUCAUUGCGACCGCCAGUAUUCUGGCGGGCAUGCCUGUUCGAGCGUCAUUUCAACCCUCAAGCCCUCGGGUUUGGUGUUGGGGAUCGGCGAGCCUUUCUGGCAAGCCGGCCCCGAAAUCUAGUGGCGGUCUCGCUGCAGCCUCCAUUGCGUAGUAGUAAAACCCUCGCAACUGGAACGCGGCGCGGCCAAGCCGUUAAACCCCCAACUUCUGAAUGUUGACCUCGGAUCAGGUAGGAAUACCCGCUGAACUUAAGCAUAUCAAUAAGCGGAGGA
rnacentral:misc_RNA from 1 species